GGGAUAUUGCACAAUGGGGGGAACCCUGAUGCAGCGACGCCGCGUGGGUGAAGAAGCGCCUCGGCGCGUAAAGCCCUGUCAGCAGGGAAGAAAAUGACGGUACCUGAGGAAUAAGCCACGGCUAACUACGUGCCAGCAGCCGCGGUAAUACGUAGGGGGCAAGCGUUAUCCGGAUUUACUGGGUGUAAAGGGAGCGUAGACGGCAGCGCAAGUCUGGAGUGAAAUGCCGGGGCCCAACCCCGGAACUGCUUUGGAAACUGUGCGGCUCGAGUGCGGGAGAGGUAGGCGGAAUUCCUAGUGUAGCGGUGAAAUGCGUAGAUAUUAGGAGGAACACCAGUGGCGAAGGCGGCUUACUGGACCGUAACUGACGUUGAGGCUCGAAAGCGUGGGGAGCAAAC
rnacentral:rRNA from 1 species